AGGGAAUCUUCGGCAAUGGACGGAAGUCUGACCGAGCAACGCCGCGUGAGUGAAGAAGGUUUUCGGAUCGUAAAGCUCUGUUGUAAGAGAAGAACGAGUGUGAGAGUGGAAAGUUCACACUGUGACGGUAUCUUACCAGAAAGGGACGGCUAACUACGUGCCAGCAGCCGCGGUAAUACGUAGGUCCCGAGCGUUGUCCGGAUUUAUUGGGCGUAAAGCGAGCGCAGGCGGUUAGAUAAGUCUGAAGUUAAAGGCUGUGGCUUAACCAUAGUACGCUUUGGAAACUGUUUAACUUGAGUGCAAGAGGGGAGAGUGGAAUUCCAUGUGUAGCGGUGAAAUGCGUAGAUAUAUGGAGGAACACCGGUGGCGAAAGCGGCUCUCUGGCUUGUAACUGACGCUGAGGCUCGAAAGCGUGGGGAGCAAACAGGAUUAGAUACCCUGGUAGUCCACGCCGUAAACGAUGAGUGCUAGGUGUUAGACCCUUUCCGGGGUUUAGUGCCGUAGCUAACGCAUUAAGCACUCCGCCUGGAGAGUACGACCGCAAGGUUG
rnacentral:rRNA from 1 species